rnacentral:rRNA from 1 species
GAGUUUGAUCCUGGUCAGAACGAACGCUGGCGGCAGGCCUAACACAUGCAAGUCGAGCGGUAGCACAGAGAGCUUGCUCUCGGGUGACGAGCGGCGGACGGGUGAGUAAUGUCUGGGAAACUGCCUGAUGGAGGGGGAUAACUACUGGAAACGGUAGCUAAUACCGCAUAAUGUCGCAAGACCAAAGUGGGGGACCUUCGGGCCUCAUGCCAUCAGAUGUGCCCAGAUGGGAUUAGCUAGUAGGUGGGGUAAUGGCUCACCUAGGCGACGAUCCCUAGCUGGUCUGAGAGGAUGACCAGCCACACUGGAACUGAGACACGGUCCAGACUCCUACGGGAGGCAGCAGUGGGGAAUAUUGCACAAUGGGCGCAAGCCUGAUGCAGCCAUGCCGCGUGUGUGAAGAAGGCCUUCGGGUUGUAAAGCACUUUCAGCGGGGAGGAAGGCGAUAAGGUUAAUAACCUUGGCGAUUGACGUUACCCGCAGAAGAAGCACCGGCUAACUCCGUGCCAGCAGCCGCGGUGAUACGGAGGGUGCAAGCGUUAAUCGGAAUUACUGGGCGUAAAGCGCACGCAGGCGGUCUGUCAAGUCGGAUGUGAAAUCCCCGGGCUCAACCUGGGAACUGCAUUCGAAACUGGCAGGCUAGAGUCUUGUAGAGGGGGGUAGAAUUCCAGGUGUAGCGGUGAAAUGCGUAGAGAUCUGGAGGAAUACCGGUGGCGAAGGCGGCCCCCUGGACAAAGACUGACGCUCAGGUGCGAAAGCGUGGGGAGCAAACAGGAUUAGAUACCCUGGUAGUCCACGCCGUAAACGAUGUCGAUUUGGAGGUUGUGCCCUUGAGGCGUGGCUUCCGGAGCUAACGCGUUAAAUCGACCGCCUGGGGAGUACGGCCGCAAGGUUAAAACUCAAAUGAAUUGACGGGGGCCCGCACAAGCGGUGGAGCAUGUGGUUUAAUUCGAUGCAACGCGAAGAACCUUACCUGGCCUUGACAUCCACAGAACUUUCCAGAGAUGGAUUGGUGCCUUCGGGAACUGUGAGACAGGUGCUGCAUGGCUGUCGUCAGCUCGUGUUGUGAAAUGUUGGGUUAAGUCCCGCAACGAGCGCAACCCUUAUCCUUUGUUGCCAGCGGUUAGGCCGGGAACUCAAAGGAGACUGCCAGUGAUAAACUGGAGGAAGGUGGGGAUGACGUCAAGUCAUCAUGGCCCUUACGACCAGGGCUACACACGUGCUACAAUGGCAUAUACAAAGAGAAGCGACCUCGCGAGAGCAAGCGGACCUCAUAAAGUAUGUCGUAGUCCGGAUUGGAGUCUGCAACUCGACUCCAUGAAGUCGGAAUCGCUAGUAAUCGUAGAUCAGAAUGCUACGGUGAAUACGUUCCCGGGCCUUGUACACACCGCCCGUCACACCAUGGGAGUGGGUUGCAAAAGAAGUAGGUAGCUUAACCUUCGGGAGGGCGCUUACCACUUUGUGAUUCAUGACUGGGGUGAAGUCGUAACAAGGUAGCCGUAGG